rnacentral:rRNA from 1 species
UACGGAGGGGGCUAGCGUUGUCCGAAGUUACUGGGCGUAAAGCGCGCGUAGGCGGGUUGGUAAGUCCGCUGUGAAAGCCCGGAGCUCAACUCCGGAGGGUCGGUGGAUACUGCCAGUCUUGAAGGUGCUAGGGGGAGAUGGAAUUACCGGUGUAGUGGUGAAAUGCGUAGAUAUCGGGAGGAACACCAGUGGCGAAGGCGACUUCCUGGCCUGUUCUUGACGCUGAGGCGCGAAAGCUAGGGGAGCAAACGGG